CAGAGAGCUUUAUGGUGAAGUUGGGUGAGCAGUCCAAAGGCAGGAAGAGGGGAACCCUGAAAGUCCUGGAGAGAUGGCAGCCACAUCACAGCAAGGACAUUAGCCAACGGGGAGCCGAAGCAUGGGCCCUGUGAAUGUAGCUGUUUGGGUAAGGAGGAUGAGGAGAAAGAAAGGCAUAAGCACUUAAGUCCAAGCAUAACCAGUGCAACACACCACCACAGCUGAUGCAGGCAUGGAGAAGUGAUGGUGGAGUGAGCUGGGUACCUUGAUUUCCACGGUGUGAUACGAAGGCUCACGAAUGUCCUGUAUUGGGAAUAACACAGUAGGAGCUACAAGUGAGAAAAAACAGUCAAAUCUCCGGAAAUCAGACCAGCAUAUUUAUCUCAGAAGAUGCUCAGAUUCUCUUUUUAGUAUUUGCUUAAAAUGAUGACAACAGCAAGCUGUAAACCUGCUUGUCCCUGACCAAAUUAGUAGGUUACAAAAACUCAAGUGAUGGUAACCCAGGAAUUUUGGAGGGGAAAAAAAGUAUGCAAAAUAUUAAAGCUUAUCAUAAACCCUUUUAGCAAAGACUCCUCAAUUCCACCCCCCACCUCUACCUGGUUUAUA